AUUGAACGCUGGCGGCAGGCCUAACACAUGCAAGUCGGACGGUAGCACAGGGGAGCUUGCUCCUCGGGUGACGAGUGGCGGACGGGUGAGUAAUGUCUGGGGAUCUGCCCGAUAGAGGGGGAUAACCACUGGAAACGGUGGCUAAUACCGCAUAAUGUCGCAAGACCAAAGAGGGGGACCUUCGGGCCUCUCACUAUCGGAUGAACCCAGAUGGGAUUAGCUAGUAGGCGGGGUAACGGCCCACCUAGGCGACGAUCCCUAGCUGGUCUGAGCGGAUGACCGGCCACACUGGAACUGGGACACGGUCCAGACUCCGACGGGAGGCAGCAGUGGGGAAUAUUGCGCAAUGGGCGCAGGCCUGAUGCAGCCAUGCCGCGUGCAUGAAGAAGGCCUUCGGGUUGUAAAGUACUUUCAGCGGGGAGGAAGGCGAUGUGGUUAAUAACCGCGUCGAUUGACGUUACCCGCAGAAGAAGCACCGGCUAACUCCGUGCCAGCCGCCGCAGUAA
rnacentral:rRNA from 1 species